rfam:Pteropus alecto contig110628, whole genome shotgun sequence.
GUCUACAGCCAUGCCACCUUGAACGAGCCCGAUGUCUAAUCUCGGAAGCUAAGCAGGAUCGCGCCUGGUUAGUACUUGGAUGGGAGACCACCUAGGAAGACCAGAUGCUAUAGGCA